ACCGAGCUUAAUAUCAAAAAAAAAAAUUGUUUUUUUUUCGGAACAAUAUAAAAGAUAAACUUGAUAGAGUGAUGCGAUAUUAUAUAGUAAUGCAGAAAUGCAAAUAGACGCCUUAUUAUAAUGUUAAGCGGAACGAAAUAAGAAAUAAAAAAAUCUUAAGGAUUAAUUAAAAUAUUUUUGCUCAUAAGUUCAGCUUUAAUGGUAAAAAAAGUUUAGUUUUGAUUUACGAUUACUUUUCUUAAACCAGGUUACCUAUUACUUGUAUGAAAUGGAAAAUUUCGAUUAUUUUAAAAAAUAACAAUUAUGAAAAAAAAAAGAAACUUUGUUAUUAACGUCAUUUUUAAUUACAUAAAGAGUAAAAACAUUUAAAUAGUUUAGGUUUUAUUUUGACAAGCUAUUCAAUAAACAAUUUUUUGUGGAGACAAAAGAUAUAUAGCUAGAUAUCUUUUGUCCCCGCCUAUACCUAUAUCUUAUAACAUUUUAAUGAGGAACUUAAUGCCUCUGCCGCUACUCAUACAGUUGGUCUUACAUUAUUUCCUUUAACAAUUGAAUUAAAUUAACCACGCUGUAAGAUAAUGUGGAACUUAGUGUGGCUAAGUACUAAUAGUAUGAGUAAUGGUGUUCUUUUUAGUAUAUAUGAAAAUAACAAUGAAGGAAACAUUGUGCUGUUUGAUUUUUCGAACUGUUGUCUGUUCUAUACUUUGGACUGUUGUUCUAUGCGUUUAUUGUGAACAACUACAGUUUACCUUCAAAGAUUUAUUGAGAUCUUACUCGAUCAGUUUAGUUAAAUUUAUCAUAAGUCAACAGGAUAACUUGGAAUUCUACACAGUUUUACCCAACAGCAGCAUUAAAACAACAUUAGAUUUAGCUUACAAAGCUUUUUUCAAAGCAAGAGUGGUAGGAAAACAGUUAACUAAAUCUGCAAUUAUUUUUUCGUAAUUUCUUAGUCUACUAAUUGUAAAUUCAGUUGAAUGUUUUUUUUUUUUUUUUUUUUUUUGUAUAUAUUUUUUUUUUUAUAUAUAUUUUAAAUAUU